rnacentral:rRNA from 1 species
GGGUGCUCGAGUGGCGAACGGGUGAGUAACACGUGAGUAACCUGCCCUUGACUUUGGGAUAACUUCAGGAAACUGGGGCUAAUACCGGAUAGGAGCUCCUGCUGCAUGGUGGGGGUUGGAAAGUUUCGGCGGUUGGGGAUGGACUCGCGGCUUAUCAGCUUGUUGGUGGGGUAGUGGCUUACCAAGGCUUUGACGGGUAGCCGGCCUGAGGGGGUGACCGGCCACAUUGGGACUGAGAUACGGCCCAG